UCGAGCGGUACAUUUCUAGCUUGCUAGAAGAUGACGAGCGGCGGACGGGAGAGUAAUACUUAGGAAUCUACCUAGUAGUGGGGGAUAGCUCGGGGAAACUCGAAUUAAUACCGCAUACGACCUACGGGAGAAAGGGGGCAACUUGUUGCUCUCGCUAUUAGAUGAGCCUAAGUCGGAUUAGCUAGAUGGUGGGGUAAAGGCCUACCAUGGCGACGAUCUGUAGCUGGUCUGAGAGGAUGAUCAGCCACACCGGGACUGAGACACGGCCCGGACUCCUACGGGAGGCAGCAGUGGGGAAUAUUGGACAAUGGGGGAAACCCUGAUCCAGCCAUGCCGCGUGUGUGAAGAAGGCCUUUUGGUUGUAAAGCACUUUAAGCAGUGAAGAAGACUCUUCGGUUAAUACCCGGAGACGAUGACAUUAGCUGCAGAAUAAGCACCGGCUAACUCUGUGCCAGCAGCCGCGGUAAUACAGAGGGUGCAAGCGUUAAUCGGAAUUACUGGGCGUAAAGCGAGCGUAGGUGGCUUGAUAAGUCAGAUGUGAAAUCCCCGGGCUUAACCUGGGAACUGCAUCUGAUACUGUCAGGCUAGAGUAGGUGAGAGGAAGGUAGAAUUCCAGGUGUAGCGGUGAAAUGCGUAGAGAUCUGGAGGAAUACCGAUGGCGAAGGCAGCCUUCUGGCAUCAUACUGACACUGAGGCUCGAAAGCGUGGGUAGCAAACAGGAUUAGAUACCCUGGUAGUCCACGCCGUAAACGAUGUCUACUAGUCGUUGGGUCCCUUGAGGACUUAGUGACGCAGCUAACGCAAUAAGUAGACCCGCCUGGGGAGUACGGCCCGCAAGGUUAAAAACUCAAAUGAAUUGACGGGGGCCCGCACAAAGCGGUGGGAGCAUGGUGGGUUUAAUUCCGAUGCAA
rnacentral:rRNA from 1 species